GGUGAUCCGCGUAUAUUUAAGCAGAGCACAUGUUGUUCAGCCAUUUUGUUGGUAGCUGUUUGAGAGUGCACACCUAUGACACAAAUCUCCAUUCACACUUCAUUUAUCCUUGGAAAAAGCAUUGUCUUUUUACACCGAUUCCAUUAAAUUGUACUUGGAUUAGUUCUGUCUUCAAGUCCUUUUUGGAGGAGUGUUAAGCUUGCUGCAUAGCUAUGUCUGUCUAUACACAUAGUGAGGGCAGUACAAGUGGGAUAAUUCAACAUUUUUAUCUCGGGCUGCGUCCCAACAUGUUGACUCUCGUCGGCGGAGACUCGAAGCUGAUGCCACAGCUGCGCUAGUGAAAAAUAAGAGAAAAUGGUUUUCCUUGAACGAAAUCCCGACACGCGGUGGACCAACUCCUGAGUGUGCGGUCCGACAUUUUCAGCUCUGUGCUGUUCCUCCUCAAAUACAUCAACGCUUUGUCCUUGCCAGCUAACCGGAGAGCCAUGUUAUUAAAGCUAAUUUCAUUAGUGUGAAGCUUCACAAUUCACAUGUAAACAAACUCGUUUGGCAUCCCGUGAAAUGCCUGCUUUACCAAGGGAUUUACACUUCGUUCUCAUUUUCAGCCAAGAUAGCUUUCCAGGGAUGCAUCACAAUAUCAUUUUUAAUGAGUACCUUUACAGAAAUGAUCAACAAACCAAGAACAUUGUUAAACUGACAAACUUUGAUGUUAGCUAGAGGAGCAACAUUGCAGCUAUAAUGAGCAAAUGAAACACAUUUUGAACUGUUUAACUCCUUUUAUCCCAAAUGCCUUUAUUACUGUUUACUACAGCUAAAAUAUCUGUCUGUAUUUAUUAAAUGCUAUUUCACUAUUUUGAAGUCGUGAGUCGUGUUUACACUGAAAGUUCCAAGAAUCUGGAUCAUGAAUUUAUUCAUCCUGAUCUAACGAGUGUGGAAUGUUGGACACUUCACUCGAUACUCACAGCUUUGCUUACGUUGCAAAAGAUGGGCGGGGCCAACAAGCGUUUACGUUUGCAAAAUUUCGAGAUGGCUGACGACACGGUGUACGGGACGUCUAACGGAUAUAAAUAUUAUCCCAUAUUUUUCAACAUUUUAAAUUCACCAUAUUUGGAUAACUAAAGCUAGC